rnacentral:rRNA from 1 species
GACGUAGGGCGCAAGCGUUGUCCGGAUUUAUUGGGCGUAAAGAGCUCGUAGGCGGUCUGUUGCGUCGGCUGUGAAAACCCGAGGCUCAACCUCGGGCCUGCAGCCGAUACGGGCAGACUAGAGUUCGGCAGGGGAGACUGGAAUUCCUGGUGUAGCGGUGAAAUGCGCAGAUAUCAGGAGGAACACCGGUGGGCGAAGGCGGGGUC